rnacentral:rRNA from 1 species
CCUACGGGCGGCUGCAGUGAGGAAUAUUGGGCAAUGGGCGCAAGCCUGACCCAGCCAUGCCGCGUGAAGGAUGAAUGCCCUAUGGGUUGUAAACUUCUUUUGUACGGGACGAAACUCCUGGUCGUGACCGGGAUUGACUGUACCGUGCGAAUAAGCAUCGGCUAACUCCGUGCCAGCAGCCGCGGUAAUACGGAGGAUGCAAGCGUUAUCCGGAUUCAUUGGGUUUAAAGGGUGCGUAGGCGGAAUAAUAAGUCAGUGGUGAAAGCCUGCGGCUUAACCGUAGAAAUGCCAUUGAUACUGUUAUUCUUGAGUAUAGUUGAGGUGGGCGGAAUGUGUAAUGUAGCGGUGAAAUGCUUAGAUAUUACACAGAACACCAAUUGCGAAGGCAGCUCACUAAGCUGUUACUGACGCUGAGGCACGAAAGCGUGGGGAGCAAACAGGAUUAGAUACCCCAGUAGUC